GUCAUAGCUCAGUGGUAGAGCACCUGCUCUUCAUGCAGAUAGGUCUCUGGCUCAAUCCCAAGCAUCUGCA